GCCCGGCGCGGGGCGGUGCCGCGGGGCGGGACCGAAGAGAUUUGAGCCCCGGCGGCGGCCGUUACCUCCUCCUCUCUUUUGGCUUGUUCCUCGCAGGUGCCGCGGCGGCCGGUCAGGGCUGCCCCGGCGGGGCCCAGAAUGAAGCAAACUGGAAGAAAGCAGAACAAAACAAAAACCGGUCAGUUUGUUGAAACUGACACAUCACUAACAAUGUUCAUCAUUAUCAUUGGUGGACGUUCUACAGCACCUUGCUGGUGUGCAAUCACACGAUGACGUCUGCAAAGUGAAAGUCAACGUGGCAUUAACUCACAUUCAAAUAAUUUAAUUUUUAAUAGCACUACUUUUUCACAAUUACUUGAAAGGGUGUCAUCCAAGCAGUGAAUCCGAAAAAGAUACAAGGUCCAGCCACCACUGUGACCUAUUUAGGAAUUGUGUGGUCUAAUGGUAUCCAACAGAUGCCUGAAAAGGCACGAAAAACCCUUCAAGAACGGCCAACCCCAAAUACAAAAAGACAAAUACAGCAAUUUUUGGGAGCAGUAGGUUUUUGGCGUAAUCAACUACCUAAUUUGGCUAUUUUAUUAAAACCUCUGCAUAGAAUUGCCCGGAAAAAGACAGAGUGGGAGUGGGGACCAGAGCAAAAUAAAGCAUUUGAAGCAGUUAAGGCCCUAAUAGGCGAAUAUAUGGAAUUACACCCUAUCCUCCCUGUUCUGGUGGAACUACGUGUGUCAGUUAAUCAGGGAACGGCUCUAUGGAGCCUCUGGCAGUUACAAGAGGGAAGACGCCGCCCUCUGGGAUUCUGGUCACGUCAAUUCAUGGGGGCAGCCUGAGCUGGUUGCCCAUACACACAUUUCUAGGGUUACUCUUUACUGAAAUUAAGUAUGUUCCUUAUUUUAUGCUUAGAUAUUUCACCAGGACCAAUCUACUUCAUCACCUACUUUAAACGCUUCUGACGGUUUAGCAGUUCUUCUUUACUAACCACUCGUAUACUGGAAUGUUGACACACCCUGGAAGAUGCAAGCCACACCUACAGGCUGGUGCCUUCCAGAAAAGCAGACAAAAAUUUAUCUUGGGUUUUUGGUUUGGGGUUUUUUUUUUGGGCAUAUCUACAUACGAAACCCACAUGGUUAAUGAAAACUAUUGACAGCCUCUACUGUUUGAGGGAAACCCCUGAAGAGAUGAAAAGUACUACAGGAACCGCAUCUAUGGCCACCUCACUGAGGAAGCUUCCCUUUGUCCACGUAGACCUAGUACACCAGGACAUUACAAACGGGUAAUUUUUGUGGCCACUAACAAAUGGAACAAUCUAAAAGAAAGACAAGGAAGUUAACGAUUUUGUUACACACCUGCAGGGUUCUGAACAAAACUGCCAGGAUAUGGCAAAUGCUGUUGACCUUGGCCAUAAGGCCCUGGUUGAGCAGACGUGAAAGAAACCUGUGGAAAUAAGCAUUUAAGUAUUCUUUGUGUAAGAAUGCAAUUAUAAACUUGCUUUUUUUAUCAUUAA